rnacentral:tmRNA from 1 species
GGGGGUGAUCGGUUUCGACUCGGGGCGGUAGUCCCAGGAGAAGCGGGCCGAGGAUCCAGGGUCAACUCGUUGAUGCUCCCUGGAAACCAACAAGUGCCGAUUCCAAGCGCACUGACUUCGCUCUCGCUGCCUGAGCAGUGAUCGAAGGGUCAGACCGGGGUUAGCCUUCGCUCCGGACCCUGGCCUCAUCAAGAAGGCUUGCUGAUCAGCCUGCGUCGCAGGGGCUGAUCGGGACUUCACUGCGACUGGGCCUGUCGGUGACGUGCUGGCGCGAGCACCGGGGCCAAGAAAACGCUGACACCAGCUGCGCCCGGAGAAGUCCUGGUUCACCCUUCGAGGACGCGGGUUCGAUUCCCGCCACCUCCACCU